CUAAGCCAACAUCAAAUCUAAAUUUACACAACUAACACAACCAAAGUUCAUCAAAUUCCUGCAAAGUGCAUCAUCAUCAUCAAGAAAACCAUCAUAUCAUCUCCCCCUUUUUGUCAGAAAGCGCCAAAAUGAUAAAAGGAGGAACCCCGCAACAUCUAAUCUGAAACAUCCCCUGGAGGUAAAUCUGCUCGGCAACACCCUAACUUGUCAAAAAUCAUAUUUAAUAACCGCUUCAUCUUGCUCACAUCCUUCCGAAUCGCAGCUUGCUCCGCAGACAAUUUCUGAAGCUCUUCAGAUAACUGUUGUUGCUUACGAUACAUAGAGGAAACUGAGAUAUCUUCCUCGGAAAUGUCCAUAGAAGGACGGGAAGACGUAGCAGUAGCAGGAGGUGGAGCAGCAGGAGGGGAAGAAGCACGUUGAGACGGGGUACGAAGCUGCACCGAGGACUUCACAAAUGUCCUCUCAUUGAUCCGACCCAAACUGUGCUCAUAAGAUGUACACCUGACAUCCACGUCAUGAAGUCGCAGAAUCCUCAUGAGUAUCAAUGGAAAUGGCAGCCUUUCAUUUUGUCCAGAAGUCUUGAUGUCCUUUGCCAUUCUCCGCCAGAUCAGAAACGGAAUAUUCAUGUUAAUAUUUUUGGCACUUACAAUAUCUGGUCUACCCAAAAGAUACAUGUACAGAAUGCGAUCCCAUCUCAAAAUCUUCGUGUUUGCAAGAGGCAAAAUGUUGUAGCAAACCACGAAGUUUAAAAACCGGUACUCCAUUUUGAAAUCUUUGGACAUAACCAUAAUGCCGUUUGAUUCAGUACUCUGCAUGCAAAUAGUGUUCACGACACGGUUCCAAUCACGAAGUGAAUCAAACCCGACCUGUAGAUAUUCCACUCCCUCAGUUCUUGCUUCCAUUCCUAACACAGACGCUAUCGUAUCGGGAGUGAUUGAUAAGUCAACACCACGUACGGAAGUGGUGAAUACGUACGGGCCUUUGUCGGUGUCACUCAAGUGACUUGCUCUCAUAUAGAAUUCUCUAAUCAACUCCAAACAGAACCCAGUUUGUUCCGGGAAAUCACAAAUCUGAUGAAGAUUUCCCUUUUCAAAUAAAUCCUGAAAUCCCGGCACACAGUCAAUGAUACUGGCGACGCCAACAUCCCGCUCACCAAUACAAUGUUUCGACGAGUACAUUGACCCUCGAGCAGAUGGAACAUUCUGUAUACUGAGACGCGGAGGCUUAGAACCCGGUUCUCUAAUCUCAACACCUCCAGAUUUCCGACGACCAGUAUAUCCAGAUGCUUUUCCUUUUCCUUUAUCCAUUGCUUUGCCUUUCCCUUUAUCAAUGGCUUGUCCUUUCCCCUUUCCUUUUCUUGUAUCCUUUUCCUAAGCCAACACCUCUGGAACAAAAGCCUCCCAAUCUGGCUCGUCCUCCCCAGAUUUGUCGCCUGGAGCAUAUUCGCUCUCUUCAUCUUCCGGUUGAUACUCAACCGGCCGUUUAGCUUUGGAUCGUUGUCAUUUGCUUCCGUGACCACCCCCAGCCAUAAGUACCACAAGCACAAGAAUCCACGAGUACAUUUUCAAAGAAACCUCUGUUAAACAUAAUUAAUUUUAACUAUGAAACAACAGAACACACAUUUUUUUUUUUAAUACCAAAAAUUUUCAGCAAAUUGAUAUAUAAAUGCUAGAUAAUCCUAGGGGCCACAAAAUCAAGAGAAACAUGAACAAGUCAUGCUACAAAACCAGCCAAAAAUAAAUGAUCCACAAAAAAAAAUGAAAAAGAAGGUUUUGAUCAAGAAAACCCAAAAAAUGAGACCAAAAAGAUGAAGAAAUACAAGAGAAAAUGAAAACAACAAUUCUAAGAACAAGAUCGAAGCAUAAAAAUGCAUAUUCAGCAAGAUCCUUAGAACAAUCGCCAAACAAUCUGAAACGAAACACAUUUUCGGAAUAUAUGAUAUUCAAGCAACAAAAUCCGAAAAUCAUACCUAAAAUCAGUGUAAAAUGAUGAAAGAGAGAACCAAAGACACCCUGGGAUUAGUAGAAGCUCAGGAGAAGAAGAUGAACGAAAUUGGUAAAGUAACAUGUGAAAGACCGCAAACCCUUAUAUCCGGUUCGGGCGGAGGGACCGGUCCCAGAGCCUGAAUUUUGAAAAAAUUUUAAUUUAAACUCAAAUUUUUUAGAAAAAAUAUAAGAUAUUCCACAAUGUUUAAUCAACAAAAAAUAACCAAUUUCCAUCCCCAAAAAUUUCAAAUAAACUUUCAUAAAUAAAAUUUGAGAAACCAAUUUCAAGAAUAGUCAAUUUGGCAAAAUUGUUGACCCGAUAAUCAAUGAAAAUUCUAGAUACAUAUAAAAUAAAAUUC
rnacentral:lncRNA from 1 species